GGAAUUUCAAAGGCAGCUGCCAGGAAGGCUUGACUGAUCUAAGACCAUCAGCCAAGGACUCCUGCAUAGGGCAAUUUCCCAAACAAACUCAAAAGAAGGACUGAAAGCAGAUAGCCCUCCAGAGCUUGCUCUGAAAGCAGCCCCACAAAGACGCUGGAGCUUGGAACAGUGCUCUGUUCACCCACAGGAACAUAGCUCGAUUUUAAAUUAAAAGAAAAGAAAAAAUCUGGAAAAUGAGCAAACAACAGAAAAAGAAACUCAGCAUAGAAAGUUAUUGUGACAGAGAAGACAGAAGACAGAAAUUCAGAAGAAGACAACAAAGCUAAUACUGCUACAUCCAAAGCCUCCAAGAAAAAUAGGAAUUGCUUUCAAGCCCCAAAAGAAUUAAUGGACAUGCUCAAAAAGGAUUUUUUAAAUUAAAUAAGAGAGGUAGAAGAAAUGAGAGCGAUACCGGAAAAUCAUGAGAAAAGAGUCAACAGGUUGGUAAAGGAGGCACAAAAAAUACUAAAGAAAUUAAUAUCUUAAAAAACAGAAUAAGCCAAUUGGUAAAAAAUGGCACAAAAAUCCAGUGAAGAGAAGACUUCCCCCCAAAAAAGCAGAAUAGAACAAAUGGAAAAAGAUAUACAAAAAUGCACUGAAUAGAAGAACUUCUUGAAAAGUAGAAGAGGUACAAAAAAUCACUGAGGAAAAGAACUUUUUACAAGGAACAAUUAGCAAAAUGGAAAAGGAGGUACAAAAGUCACUUGAGGAAAUAAUGCCUUAAAAAUUAGAAUUGGGCAAGUAGAAGCUAAUAAUUCUAUAAGACAUCAGGAAACAAUUACAAAAGUCAAAAAAUGAAAAGAGAAAAGAAAAUGUGAAAUAUCUCAUUGGAAAAACAACUGACCUAGAAAAUAAAACUAGGAGAGAUAAGAAUUAUUGGACUACUUGAAAGCCAUGAUAAAAAAAAGAAUUUAGACAUUGUCUUUCAAGAAAUUAUCAAGGAAAAUUACCCUGACAUUCUAGAAACAGAGGGCAAAAUAGAAAUUAUAAGAAACCGUUGAUCAUCUUCUGAAAAACAGUCCAAAAAGAUAACUCCCAGGAAUAUUAUAGCCAAAUUCUAGAACUCCCAGAUCAAGGAGAAAAUAUAGCAAGUAACCAAUAAGAAACAAUUCAAAUAUCAUGGGGCCAUAGUUAGGUUUAGCAGCUUCUAUAGGAUUGGAGGGCAUGUAAUAUGAUAUUCCAGAGGGAAAAAGAGCUAGGACUUCAACCAAGAAUCAUUUACCCAAUAAAACUGAGCAUGAUCCUUCAGAGGAAACAUGGGUAUUCAAUGGAACAGAAGAUUUUCAAACAUUCCCAAUGAAAAGACCAGAGCUGAAUGGAAAAUUUUACUCUCAAAUAUAAGACUCAAGAGAAGCAAAAAAAAGUAAACAGGAAAGAGAAUCAAAAUACAUUCAAUAAGAUUAAACUAAGAAUAUCCCCACAGGGAGAGAGGAUUCUUAUAACUUCACAGAACUUUGUCAUUAUUAAGGCAGUUAGAAGGAGUAUACAUAGACAAAGGGCAAGGGUAUGAGUUUAAUUUGAUGGGAUAAAACAAAAUUAAUGGAUGAAAAA